rnacentral:rRNA from 1 species
AGUGAACGCUGGCGGUAGGCCUAACACAUGCAAGUCGAACGGCAGCACAGUGAGAGCUUGCUCUUACGGGUGGAGCGUGGCGGACGGGGGAGGAAUACAUCGGAAUCUACUCUUUCGGGGGGGAUAACGUAGGGAAGCUUACGCUAAUACCGCAUACGACGUAUGGGUGAAAGCAGGGGAUCUUCGGACCUUGCGCGAGUGAAUGAGCCGAUGUAGGAUUAGCUAGUUGGCGGGGUAGAGGCGCACCAAGGCGACGAUCGGUAGCUGGUCUGAGAGGAUGACUCGCCAGCCUGGCACUGAGACACGGCCCAGACUCCGACGGGAGGCCGCAGUCGGGAAUAUUGCGCAAUGGGCGCAAGCCUGAUCCAGCACUACCGCGUGGGUGAAGAAGGCCUUAUGGUUGUAAAGUCAUUUUGUUGGGAAGGAAAAACAGCAGGUUAAUCCCCCGCUGUUCUGACGGUACCCAAAGAAUAAGCACCGGCUAACUUCGUG